rnacentral:lncRNA from 1 species
AGCCAGGUAUAGCUGGUAUUAUUCUAAGCAAGUCUAUCUCAGUGGGAGGACCUGUUGAGAAGGUUACAAAAGCCUCCGAAUCCUGUCUUGAGUUGUUCCAUCUAAGUCUUUGAAAGAGAUGGUAAGAGCCUAGAAAGGACUGGUGGUGACUACAGUACCCAAUAACACAUUUGAUGAGCCUGCCAGGAGGUAACAAAUGGAACCAGGAGGUAACACUAUCUGGCAUGGUUUUGUUUUUCUCCCUCUUGGAAGCCUAUGGAAUCAAACUGAGGACUAAUUGAGUUUUUUCUUGCCUUCUCUUUCUUCACUAGGAAAGUCCCAAUCCUCUUCCUGUCCUUUUCCUCCCAAGAUGGUCAGAGAAAGGCAGAGAGGGAGAGGGUGGUAAAAGUUAAUAGAAGUUAGAGACUCCCCACCAAGCCAGUGACCAUGAGAAGAGAACCGAUGGGGUAUGGAGUAGGAAGCCCGAAGCAGUGCAUGCAGCUCAGCUCAGAUAGGGUCUGAACACCACAGAGGCAGGUGCUGGUGCCCCUAGGUGGGGUGAAGAUUGAGAAUCUUGAAAAAAAGCUUUGAAAUCAUAGUCCUCCUCGCUCGACCUGCGCCGAGAGAGCGAGUGCUCCAGGAGCUGCUGGACUCGUGGGUUCGAGUCUGUGCUCGGUUCACACUGCCACAGUUCCCAGCUGAAACACACGGAGAAAGCCAGGUAUUUCCCAGCUACUCCCUGAGGGCAGAGUGCAUGAAUCAGGACCCCGCCGACAUUACAGACGGAGCCCUGGCCUCCCUGCUACCGCAGCAGAGAGGAGGUUUUCACUCAGAAGCCCCAGGGACUUCUCUGGCUGGGGACAGGGUGAGCAGACUCUCCCAGACCCCACGCACCCUGCGCCGAGUAAGCGAGUGCUCCAAGAGCAGCUGACCUGCUGUUUGAGUCUGAGCUUUGCCUUUGCCCAGACCCCCUAGUGAGUCAAAGGCUGGGGAAGUCUGUGACUGAUACUCAUUUGGGCUGCAUCUGGUUCCUGCAUGUGUCCUG